GCCUCGGUGGUGUAGUGGUAUAGCACAUAUCCCCGGUAUGGAUGAAACGCGGUUCGAUUCCCUCCUGAGGUC